GGGGUUGUAGCUCAGUGGUAGGGCCCACUUAACAUGCAUGAGGCCCUGGAUUCCAUCUCCAUCACCACCA
rnacentral:tRNA from 1 species